rnacentral:rRNA from 1 species
UACGUAGGGGGCAAGCGUUGUCCGGAAUUAUUGGGCGUAAAGAGCGUGUAGGCGGUCCGGUAAGUCAGCUGUGAAAGUCAAGGGCUCAACCCUUGAAAGCCGGUUGAUACUGUCGGGCUAGAGUCCGGAAGAGGCGAGUGGAAUUCCCGGUGUAGCGGUGAAAUGCGCAGAUAUCGGGAGGAACACCAAUGGCGAAGGCAGCUCGCUGGGACGGUACUGACGCUGAGACGCGAAAGCGUGAGGAGCAAACAGG